rnacentral:rRNA from 1 species
CCUACGGGAGGCAGCAGUGAGGAAUAUUGGUCAAUGGGCGGGAGCCUGAACCAGCCAAGUCGCGUGAGGGAUGACGGCCCUAUGGGUUGUAAACCUCUUUUGCCGGGGAGCAAAGUGCCGCACGUGUGCGGUUUUGAGAGUACCCGGAGAAAAAGCAUCGGCUAACUCCGUGCCAGCAGCCGCGGUAAUACGGAGGAUCCGAGCGUUAUCCGGAUUUAUUGGGUUUAAAGGGAGCGUAGGUGGAUUGUUAAGUCAGUUGUGAAAGUUUGCGGCUCAACCGUAAAAUUGCAGUUGAAACUGGCAGUCUUGAGUACAGUAGAGGUGGGCGGAAUUCGUGGUGUAGCGGUGAAAUGCUUAGAUAUCACGAAGAACUCCGAUUGCGAAGACAGUUCACUGGACUGCAACUGACACUGAGGCUCGAAAGUGUGGGUAUCAAACAGGAUUAGAUACCCGUGUAGUC